UGGGGAAUUUUGGACAAUGGGCGAAAGCCUGAUCCAGCAAUGCCGCGUGUGUGAAGAAGGCCUUCGGGUUGUAAAGCACUUUUGUCCGGAAAGAAAUCCUUGGCUCUAAUACAGUCGGGGGAUGACGGUACCGGAAGAAUAAGCACCGGCUAACUACGUGCCAGCAGCCGCGGUAAUACGUAGGGUGCAAGCGUUAAUCGGAAUUACUGGGCGUAAAGCGUGCGCAGGCGGUUUGCUAAGACCGAUGUGAAAUCCCUGGGCUCAACCUGGGAACUGCAUUGGUGACUGGCAGGCUAGAGUAUGGCAGAGGGGGGUAGAAUUCCACGUGUAGCAGUGAAAUGCGUAGAGAUGUGGAGGAAUACCGAUGGCGAAGGCAGCCCCCUGGGCCAAGUACUGACGCUCAUGCACGAAAGCGUGGGGGAGCAAACNGGAUUAGAUACCCUGGUAGUCCACGCCCCUAAANGAUGUCAACUAGUUGUUGGGGAUUCAUUUUCCUUAGUAACGUAGCUAACGCGUGAAGUUGACCGCCU
rnacentral:rRNA from 1 species